rnacentral:rRNA from 1 species
CCUACGGGUGGCAGCAGUGGGGAAUAUUGCACAAUGGGGGAAACCCUGAUGCAGCGACGCCGCGUGAGUGAUGAAGGUCUUCGGUACGUAAAGCUCUAUCAGCAGGGAAGAAAAUUCCGGUACCUAAUCAACAAUCCCUGGACAAUUACGUCCCAGCACCCGCGGUAAGACGGAGGGGGCAAGCGUUAUCCGGAUUUACUGGGUGUAACGGGAGCGUAGACGGCUAGACAAGUCAGGGGUGAAAACCCGCGGCUCAACGUCGGGAGUGCUUUUGAAACUGAUAGGCUGGAGUGCGGGAGAGGUGAGUGGAAUUCCUGGUGUAGCAGUGAAAUGCGUAGAUAUUAGGAGGAACACCAGUGGCGAAGGCGACUUACUGGAAUGUAACUGACGUUGAGGAGCGAAAGCGUGGGGAGCAAACAGGAUUAGAUACCCGAGUAGUC